rnacentral:rRNA from 1 species
CGGGAAAAGCUCAAAUUUAAAAUCUGGCUGUCUUAGGCGGUCCGAGUUGUAAUCUGGAGAAGUGUUUUCUGCGCUGGACCGUAUACAAGUCUCUUGGAAUAGAGCGUCAUAGAGGGUGAGAAUCCCGUCUUUGAUACGGACUACCAGGGCUAUAUGAUACACUCUCGAA